CCCGUACACAAAAAUGCACAUGCUGUGAGCUCGAUGAGUAGGGCGGGACACGUGGUAUCCUGUCUGAAUAUGGGGGGACCAUCCUCCAAGGCUAAAUACUCCUGACUGACCGAUAGUGAACCAGUACCGUGAGGGAAAGGCGAAAAGAACCCCGGCGAGGGGAGUGAAAAAGAACCUGAAACCGUGUACGUACAAGCAGUGGGAGCACAGAGCAAUCUGUGUGACUGCGUACCUUUUGUAUAAUGGGUCAGCGACUUAUAUUCUGUAGCAAGGUUAACCGAAUAGGGGAGCCGAAGGGAAACCGAGUCUUAACUGGGCGUUAAGUUGCAGGGUAUAGACCCGAAACCCGGUGAUCUAGCCAUGGGCAGGUUGAAGGUUGGGUAACACUAACUGGAGGACCGAACCGACUAAUGUUGAAAAAUUAGCGGAUGACUUGUGGCUGGGGGUGAAAGGCCAAUCAAACCGGGAGAUAGCUGGUUCUCCCCGAAAGCUAUUUAGGUAGCGCCUCGUGAAUUCAUCUCCGGGGGUAGAGCACUGUUUCGGCAAGGGGGUCAUCCCGACUUACCAACCCGAUGCAAACUGCGAAUACCGGAGAAUGUUAUCACGGGAGACACACGGCGGGUGCUAACGUCCGUCGUGAAGAGGGAAACAACCCAGACCGCCAGCUAAGGUCCCAAAGUCAUGGUUAAGUGGGAAACGAUGUGGGAAGGCCCAGACAGCCAGGAUGUUGGCUUAGAAGCAGCCAUCAUUUAAAGAAAGCGUAAUAGCUCACUGGUCGAGUCGGCCUGCGCGGAAGAUGUAACGGGGCUAAACCAUGCACCGAAGCUGCGGCAGCGACGCUUAUGCGUUGUUGGGUAGGGGAGCGUUCUGUAAGCCUGCGAAGGUGUGCUGUGAGGCAUGCUGGAGGUAUCAGAAGUGCGAAUGCUGACAUAAGUAACGAUAAAGCGGGUGAAAAGCCCGCUCGCCGGAAGACCAAGGGUUCCUGUCCAACGUUAAUCGGGGCAGGGUGAGUCGACCCCUAAGGCGAGGCCGAAAGGCGUAGUCGAUGGGAAACAGGUUAAUAUUCCUGUACUUGGUGUUACUGCGAAGGGGGGACGGAGAAGGCUAUGUUGGCCGGGCGACGGUUGUCCCGGUUUAAGCGUGUAGGCUGGUUUUCCAGGCAAAUCCGGAAAAUCAAGGCUGAGGCGUGAUGACGAGGCACUACGGUGCUGAAGCAACAAAUGCCCUGCUUCCAGGAAAAGCCUCUAAGCAUCAGGUAACAUCAAAUCGUACCCCAAACCGACACAGGUGGUCAGGUAGAGAAUACCAAGGCGCUUGAGAGAACUCGGGUGAAGGAACUAGGCAAAAUGGUGCCGUAACUUCGGGAGAAGGCACGCUGAUAUGUAGGUGAAGCGACUUGCUCGUGGAGCUGAAAUCAGUCGAAGAUACCAGCUGGCUGCAACUGUUUAUUAAAAACACAGCACUGUGCAAACACGAAAGUGGACGUAUACGGUGUGACGCCUGCCCGGUGCCGGAAGGUUAAUUGAUGGGGUUAGCGCAAGCGAAGCUCUUGAUCGAAGCCCCGGUAAACGGCGGCCGUAACUAUAACGGUCCUAAGGUAGCGAAAUUCCUUGUCGGGUAAGUUCCGACCUGCACGAAUGGCGUAAUGAUGGCCAGGCUGUCUCCACCCGAGACUCAGUGAAAUUGAACUCGCUGUGAAGAUGCAGUGUACCCGCGGCAAGACGGAAAGACCCCGUGAACCUUUACUAUAGCUUGACACUGAACAUUGAGCCUUGAUGUGUAGGAUAGGUGGGAGGCUUUGAAGUGUGGACGCCAGUCUGCAUGGAGCCGACCUUGAAAUACCACCCUUUAAUGUUUGAUGUUCUAACGUUGACCCGUGAUCCGGGUUGCGGACAGUGUCUGGUGGGUAGUUUGACUGGGGCGGUCUCCUCCUAAAGAGUAACGGAGGAGCACGAAGGUUGGCUAAUCCUGGUCGGACAUCAGGAGGUUAGUGCAAUGGCAUAAGCCAGCUUGACUGCGAGCGUGACGGCGCGAGCAGGUGCGAAAGCAGGUCAUAGUGAUCCGGUGGUUCUGAAUGGAAGGGCCAUCGCUCAACGGAUAAAAGGUACUCCGGGGAUAACAGGCUGAUACCGCCCAAGAGUUCAUAUCGACGGCGGUGUUUGGCACCUCGAUGUCGGCUCAUCACAUCCUGGGGCUGAAGUAGGUCCCAAGGGUAUGGCUGUUCGCCAUUUAAAGUGGUACGCGAGCUGGGUUUAGAACGUCGUGAGACAGUUCGGUCCCUAUCUGCCGUGGGCGCUGGAGAACUGAGGGGGGCUGCUCCUAGUACGAGAGGACCGGAGUGGACGCAUCACUGGUGUUCGGGUUGUCAUGCCAAUGGCACUGCCCGGUAGCUAAAUGCGGAAGAGAUAAGUGCUGAAAGCAUCUAAGCACGAAACUUGCCCCGAGAUGAGUUCUCCCUGACUCCUUGAGAGUCCUGAAGGAACGUUGAAGACGACGACGUUGAUAGGCCGGGUGUGUAAGCGCAGCGAUGCGUUGAGCUAACCGGUACUAAUGAACCGUGAGGCUUAACCUU
rnacentral:rRNA from 1 species